rnacentral:rRNA from 1 species
UACGGAGGGAGCUAGCGUUGUUCGGAAUUACUGGGCGUAAAGCGCACGUAGGCGGCUUUGUAAGUUAGAGGUGAAAGCCCGGAGCUCAACUCCGGAAUUGCCUUUAAGACUGCAUCGCUUGAAUCCGGGAGAGGUGAGUGGAAUUUCGAGUGUAGAGGUGAAAUUCGUAGAUAUUCGGAAGAACACCAGUGGCGAAGGCGGCUCACUGGACCGAUAUUGACGCUGAGGUGCGAAAGCGUGGGGAGCAAACAGG